rnacentral:rRNA from 1 species
UACAGAGGGGGCAAGCGUUAUUCGGAAUUAUUGGGCCUAAAGCAUCCGUAGCCGGUUCUACAAGUCUUCCGUUAAAUCCAACUGCUUAACAGGUGGGCUGCGGAAGAUACUAUAGAGCUAGGAGGCGGGAGAGGCAAGCGGUACUCGAUGGGUAGGGGUAAAAUCCGUUGAUCCAUUGAAGACCACCAGUGGCGAAGGCGGCUUGCCAGAACGCGCUCGACGGUGAGGGAUGAAAGCUGGGGGAGCAAACCGG